CAAACCGCUCGGUCCUGCCUGCUGGGGAGUUUCUCUCAUUGCAUGAAAACGAAAAUGAAAUUUCUGUUGCUUUUCCUUUCCCUGUUCUCUGCCCACACCUGUGUCCUCUGUGAGGUGCAGCUGGUCCAGUCCGGCCCGGGAGCGGUGAAGCGCGGAGAGACCCUCACCCUGACCUGCGCUGUCUCCGGGGUCUCCAUAACUACUCAGUAUUACACCUGGAACUGGAUCCGGCAGCCCCCGGGGAAAGGGCUGGAGUGGAUGGGGUAUGUGUACCCGUAUAACAGCGGGGAGACAGGCUAUGCCCCGUCUCUCCAAGGCCGAAUCACCAUCUCUGCAGACACUGCCAAGAACCAGUUCUCCCUGCAGCUCCGCUCGCUGACAGCUGCAGACACCGCCACCUAUUACUGUGCCGGAGACACAACCAACAUGAAAUCUUUACUCGUCCUUGUGCUGUCACUGGCCGCUGCCUCGUGUGUCCUCUCCCAGCUGCAGCUGGUGCAGUCCGGCCCGGGAGCAGUGAAGCCCGGAGAGACCCUCACCCUGACCUGCGCUGUCUAG